GACGAACCGUGCGAACGUUGUUCGGAUUCACUGGGCUUAAAGGGCGCGUAGGCGGCCGGACCAGUCGGGGGUGAAAUCUUUCCGCUUAACGGGAAAAUGGCCUCCGAUACUGUCCGGCUCGAGGGAGGUAGGGGUGCGUGGAACUUCCGGUGGAGCGGUGAAAUGCGUAGAUAUCGGAAGGAACGCCGGUGGCGAAAGCGACGCACUGGACCUCCUCUGACGCUGAGGCGCGAAAGCCAGGGGAGCAAACGGG
rnacentral:rRNA from 1 species